UUGGAGGGCAAGUCUGGUGCCAGCAGCCGCGGUAAUUCCAGCUCCAAUAGCGUAUAUUAAAGUUGUUGCAGUUAAAAAGCUCGUAGUUGAAUUUCGGGGUCAGUAGGUUGGUCAUGCCACUGGUAUGUACUGGCCUCACUGAUUCCUCCUUCCUGAUGAACUGUAAUGCCAUUAAUUUGGUGUUGCAGGGAGUCUGGACUGUUACUUUGAAAAAAUUAGAGUGUUUAAAGCAGGCUAACGCCUGAAUACAUUAGCAUGGAAUAAUGAAAUAGGACGUUCGAUCCUAUUUUGUUGGUUUCUAGGAUUGACGUAAUGAUUAAUAGGGAUAGUUGGGGGCAUUAGUAUUCAAUUGUCAGAGGUGAAAUUCUUGGAUUUAUUGAAGACUAACUACUGCGAAAGCAUUUGCCAAGGAUGUUUUCAUUAAUCAAGAACGAAAGUUAGGGGAUCGAAGACGAUCAGAUACCGUCGUAGUCUUAACCAUAAACUAUGCCGACUAGGGAUCGGAUGAUGUUAAUUUUUUAAUGACUCAUUCGGCGCCUUACGGGAAAC
rnacentral:rRNA from 1 species